CCAUAGUCUCACAUUCCCCUUUCAGGCUGGGCUAAGAAGGGCUGGGAGACUUGUUAGAGCAAAUAUAGAGCUGGAGUAAGAUGGGGCUGAGGCUCUCCAAGCCUAGUGAAGGGCGGGCAAGAGACAAAGAGGAGGAGCAGGUUUGCUUAUCUGCUGGGAAACGGGCAGGUGUGGCUCAGGCAAAAAACUGGGAACUUAGGAGCAUCAACUAUGGAAGUUGGGUUUUAAUAAAGGAGUGAAGGGAGUUCUCAUCGUGGCUCAGUAGUUAACGAACCCGACUAGUAUCCAUGAGGACUUGGGUUUGAUCCCUGGCCUUGCUCAGUGGGUUAAGGAUCUGGCGUUGUCAUGAGCUGUGGUGUGGGUUGCAGAUGCAGCUGGGACCCUGUGUUGCUGUGGCUAUGGUAUAAGCUGGCAGCUGUAGCUCUGAUUUGAUCCCUAGCCUAGGAACCUCCAUAUGCUGUGGGUUAGAUCCUAAAAAGGCAAAAAAUAAAAAAUAAAAUAAAGGGGUGGGGGGGAGUUUUCUUGUGACUGAAUGGGUUAAGGAUCUGGCAUUGUCACUGCUGUGGCACAGGUUCCAUUCCCGGCCAGGGAACUGCCACAUGCCGCGGGUGCAGCCAAAAAAAAAAAAGGGGGAAAGACCGUAAAGGGGUGGGGAAAGGAGGAAUUGGAGGCAUGGCUUUGGUGUCUCUGAUCAUGUCCAAAAGUUGAGCUUGUGGUGUUUUGUUCAUCUCAAACAAAACAAAUAAAACAACCUGUGACUUUAGUAUGCUACCACAAGGUGGCGUCAUUUGGCCACUCAGAUAUUAACCUCUAUUAAAAUAAAAAUUUCACUCAUUUUUCAAAAAAGACAAAAGUAUAAAAAAUUAGAUGUACAUAUUACAUCAAGGUUUUUUUUUUUCAAAAAAAAUCUCUUCUAUUUUAGAAGAGAAAUAUCUGGUAUAGAAGUUGGUUUGCUCUUCCCUGGCCCUUAAUUUUAUCCAUCUACCUUCCCUAAACCUUGGACUCUCUAGUGGUCUACCUUCCCUUUCUGUCUGGCGCUGGUCAACAACUGGAACCCACUCCAAACGUUGUCAUGCCAACUCAACAUACUGGAAAGAGCAGGGGACAUGGAAUUGUCCCAACCCUCACCUCAGCCUGAUUUUGGAGAUAGCUUCUCACCACCCCAGGUCACCCCAGCAUCUCCCUGGUUGCUCUGUUGAAACUGGACCCUGUGAAACUGGACCCUGUGGGGCAAGAGCUGAAGCAGGAAGGUCAGUGAGUGUAAGCGAGUGAGUGGGACCCUGCGAGGGCUUCCCAGGGUGGCCCCCAGUCCUAUCUUCCACCUGCCUUUUGAUCUAUAGAAAAACUUUAGUCAAAGAACCAAUUUAAUCAGAGAAGUGAGAAAGUACAGAGAAAAAAGAAAACAGUAAUAAAAAUUCAGCCAUUGAACA
rnacentral:lncRNA from 1 species